AUUGAACGCUGGCGGCAGGCCUAACACAUGCAAGUCGAACGAGUGGCGGACGGGUGAGUAAUGUCUGGGAAACUGCCCGAUGGAGGGGGAUAACUACUGGAAACGGUAGCUAAUACCGCAUACCAUCGGAUGUGCCCAGAUGGGAUUAGCUAGUAGGUGGGGUAAUGGCUCACCUAGGCGACGAUCCCUCGCUGGUCUGAGAGGAUGACGCACAAUACUGGAACUGAGACAAGGCCCAGAGUCCGACGGGAGGCAGAAGGGGAGAAUAUUGCCAAAUGGGGGAAAGCCUGAUGCAGCCAUGCCGCGUGUAUGAAGAAGGCCUUCGGGUUGUAUAGUACUGUAAGCGAGGAGGCGUUACUCGAAGAAGAAGCACCGGCUAACUCCGUGCCAGCAGACGCGGUAAUUC
rnacentral:rRNA from 1 species